rnacentral:lncRNA from 1 species
GGCUGAACUUUUAGAGUCCGUAUAGGUGAAGGAAACCAACCUAGAGUGGGUUUCGGCCUCCUUUCCCAAGGCUGGCCGCAUACCCCUCUAGUCCUCCAUAUAUACCCCCGUUAGGUCUUCGUUUAGACUCGGAUUUUGUUUAGUUUGAGACCUAGCUAUUCGCUACUCUUCGCCAUAGGCACAAGUGUCAAAUCGACCUUCUGUACUACGCGCUUGCAGAAUCCCAUCAAUAAAGCUUCACCUUUAUUCGCAAUAUCUUGAUUGCAUCUAUAAUUCUUGCUUGUUCUUCGGUUGCAUGCAGGGAUUGAUCCUCCGUGAUCAGGUUGAUCUAGCUCCGGCGUGGUCAAUAACCUCGGAAGUUGGUGUAGCGAUCGCUAAGGUGCAACGUCUCGCACGUUUGUAGCCGGUUCGUCAAUGUCGACAUCCACCCAAAAAUCGAUAGCUACCGUCUCAUCGAAAGAUCGGGCACCUUUCCCCUAUCAAGUGGUAUCAGAUUUCAGGUUGCUCGGUGAGAUCUUACUGUUUUCCCAGCUUAGUUGCAUCUGAUUUAUUCCUACAGUCCACGAAAAAGCCAAAAAAAAAAUUAGGGUUAGAUCUUGUCCUACAAACAAUUUCGAGCCUUUGCAUCUUUUCUUUCAGUACGUGCAUUGUUGAAUUUUAGUCUGCAUCGUCGUGUCGAGUGCUGGUUUUAGAGUCUAGACUUUUAGAGUUUCGAGUUCUGUUCAUAGCCGUCACGCCGCCUCGCCUCGCUCGCCGAUCUUCCACACCACCACAUAUCCCUACCCGUAUCAAUUUCGGUUCCACUUACCUUCCGCCACCAAUUCCGCCACCACAUAUCCUUAACCGUAUCAAUUUCGGUUCCACUUACCAUCUUCCGCCACCAAUUCCGCCACCACAUAUCCAUAUCCGUAUCAUUGUCGAUUUCACAUACCCUAUCAAAUCAGGUUUAUUUUGUUUUCCUUUUUAGAGUUUGCUUCCCAUACGAAGAGAUCUCGAUUCGAUCUGUAAGUUGAUAUAAGUCCGGAAAGUUUCGGCCGCAAGGAAAGAGGAGGGGAGUAAAAAAAAAAAGUCUGAAACCCUCUCCGAAUUUUUUUUUAGCAUACACUGUUCUUAUACUUCCGGGAUCGUUUUUAGCUAUCCGCCAUCAUAGCGGAAAUUUUGAGACGUCUGCACGCUUUCCAGAGCAGCUUUUUGCAGUUUCAGUUUUUGGCCACACAUUUUUUCGAGGCUAUCUAGGUUUUAGACCUUGCUUCUCGUUUUGAGUCACGUUCCAUCAUAGUGAGUUUUCGUUUAUAUCUAUCCGUUUCCCAGCACUGUACCGGUUGCUUUUGGUGUCGCGGCGUGACUCCCAAGUGUUCUAGGCUCGCGUCUCUAGCACGGUAUAGCCUAGGGCCAGCACGGUACCGUCGUUGAGCUAUUAUUCAACUUGUGGCAUUACUGUUUUGAAUUGUUGCUCCAGAUAUUAGGAUACAGCCACCCAGAGCUCCACAUACUCCUACACCGUGCGUUGACACCGCCUUGCAAUCGCUUUAUUCAAUCUUCCUGAGGUUUAAUCACACCGGUUGCUAGUCACCACCUGCUGCAGGGUAAGAACGGGUAAGAAUCUUGGUUUGCUUGACAGAUUACGCGUUCUCCACCACUUGCCGAAGCAUAUACACCCAUAUUGCUGUGCUUUUUGAAUACUAAUCAUGAUAGGUGGGGAGGAGACUUCAGAACCAACAAGCGCCGAAGUACAGGCGAACUUCACCAAGCUUUUGGACGAUCACAUGCAGGACGUCGACAAACGCUUUAAUGAUACGAUGGAACACCUUGAGGGCCUCGAAACAUCUUUCACCGACAAGCUCGACGCCAAAUUCCGGGAGUUGAUGGCGCGCUUGCCACAACCUACUGCCACUCGGGCUUCGCCUCUCCACGCAUUUGCUUGGCGGGCACAGCGUGUUCCCGUUCACCAAGGUCAAACCUCGGCUGCUGCUGCUCGUGAGGAGCAACAUGAGGAGUCUUACGGGGACGACGAGUCCGAGGGCGAGCGAGAGGACGAGGGGGAACUUCUACAACAGCCGCGUGGUCGUCCACGCCCCUACAUUCGCCACGCACGCCCGCAUGUGCCGCCGGUACGUGAUGAUGACCAUGUUGCGAAAUUAAAAUUGACUAUACCCAUGUUUGAUGGUAGAUAUAAUCCUGAUGCAUACCUUUCAUGGGAAUUAGAAGUACAGCAACGUUUUACAUGCUUAAAUUAUCCAGAGGAUAGACGUGUUAGUGCUGCUACUUGUGAGUUCACUAGUUUUGCUUCCAUCUGGUGGACUGAAUAUUGUCGUGUUAAUUAUGCUAAUCCAGUCACUACAUGGGAUGCUUUGAAACGGGCCAUGCGAACUCGUUUUGUGCCACCAUCAUAUCAGCGUACCUUGCUCAACAAAUUAACACGUUUAGAUCAGGGCAAAAAUUCUGUAGAAGAGUACUAUCAAGAACUACAAACUGGUAUGAUGCGUUGUGGCAUAGUGGAAGAUAAUGAAGCUUUACUUGCAUGAUUUUUCGGUGGGUUAAAUAAGGAGAUUCAGACCAUUCUUCAAUACAAGUCAGACCAUACUAUAACUCGUUUGUUCCACCUUGCUUGCAAUGCUGAAUGUGAAGUGCAGGAUCGGAGAGAGGCGACCCGAACUAACUUUUCUGCAGGGCGUUCUAAUUCUUGGAGAACAUCGCCUUCUUCGUCACGGGCUGCUGCACCAUCCACUUCCACGCCCACACCCACGCGAGCUACAACUACUACAUCGCAUCCUGUUGCCGCCAAGCGUGCCUCCGCUGGACCCGCACCAAGUUCUUCUUCCUCCAUGGCGUCUACGGGCAAAACCAGCCAGAUUCAAUGCCGCAAAUGCAGCGGGCUUGGCCACUUUGUGCGUGACUGCCCCUCCGCUCGUGUGAUGAUCGCUCUUGAGGACGGUGGUUAUGAUUCCGCCAGUGAUUAUGAUGAGAACACUUUAGCUCUUCUUGCACAUGAGGAGCAAUGCGCUGCAGCAAACAAGGAGCACGAUUCCCACUUUAUGGCUGCCGAAGAUGCUGAGAAAUACCCAAGCUUAAUUGCACAACGAGUUUUGAGUGCACAAGUGACGAAGGCCGAACCAAAUCAGCGCCAUAAUUUGUUCCAUACCAAGGGUGUGGUAAAAGAUCGAUGUGUUCGCAUUAUUAUUGAUGGUGGGAGCUGUAACAAUUUGGCGAGUUUUAACCUUAGGGUUCACCGGCGGCGACCAAAACGUGCGGCGGCGGGCGACGAGCUCCGGCGAGCAAUUCCGGCGGCGUGGGCGCGCGAGAGAUUGGGGAACCAAGGGGGAAGAAGAGUGGGGGCUCUAGUUUUACAUUGACGCGCUCGGGGCUGCGAAAUAUGGACGGGGCGCGGAGAUCUCUGCGGAGACGGCGCGCGGUGGUGAAGAACGAAAGCAGCUGAUGAGGACAUCCCACAUGUUGAUACACCCACAGCACCUACAGUCACAUUACAAGGACCUAUCACAAGAGCUCGCGCACGCCAACUUAAUUAUCAGGUACUUCCGUUUCUUGGAACGAUUCUUAACAUACAUGAGAAUAUGAUGCUGCCUAAAUCAGAUGUGUUUGUCACACUUAGGAAUGAUGGACCUAGCAUGGAUGAGAGGGACAAGCAUUGGAGCAUGAUCACGCAUGGAGAUGAAGGCAGCAAGCGUGUGAGGACUGAAGAUGGCGCCGCAACGGGAGGUUUCAGAACGUUGAAGCCACCAUAAUGAGAGAUGAAGACAUGGGCGAAAUAUAGAACUUUUCCCUUCAUAUUUUCGUCCACAUAAUUAUAUGGUGCUGCGUCACCUUUUAAGUUUGGGCUAGGCCCAUGUAAUUUUCGUCCACAUACAUGGGCUGAACUUUUAGAGUCCGUAUAGGUGAAGGAAACCAACCUAGAGUGGGUUUCGGCCUCCUUUCCCAAGGCUGGCCGCAUACCCCUCUAGUCCUCCAUAUAUACCCCCGUUAGGUCUUCGUUUAGACUCGGAUUUUGUUUAGUUUGAGACUUAGCUAUUCGCUACUCUUCGCCAUAGGCACAAGUGUCAAAUCGACCUUCUGUACUACGCGCUUGCAGAAUCCCAUCAAUAAAGCUUCACCUUUAUUCGCAAUAUCUUGAUUGCAUCUAUAAUUCUUGCUUGUUCUUCGGUUGCAUGCAGGGAUUGAUCCUUCGUGAUCAGGUUGAUCUAGCUCCGGCCUCGGAAGUUGGUGUAGCGAUCGCUAAGGCGCAACGCCUCGCACGUUUGUAGCUGGUUCGUCAACGUCGACAUCCACCCAAAAAUCGAUAGCUAACGUCUCAUCGAAAGAUCGGGCACCUUUCCCCUAUCAGCGGCGGCGGACGCGGGCGCUUUUUAUCGGGGACGAAGACCCUGACGCGUGGGUCCCAUGCGUCAGCGGCAGCGGGCGCGCGCGCGUGCGGCGGGGCUGGUCCGGCCCGGUCGAGCAUGGUCGGACGGGGCCGGUUCGGCCCAUUUUGGUCGGGCCGGUCCGGUUUUCAUUUUUUUUUUCUUUUAGCCCUUUUCUUUUUCUGUUUCUUAUUUCUUUGAUAACUUUUGAUUUUGAACUCCAAAUUGAUCCAAAUAAAUUCCAGAAAAUUUGUAAAAUCAUGUUCUAUCAUGAUUCAACUUUUGGGAGUAAUUUCCCUUCAAAAUAAAAUUUCUAAAAAUACAUUUGCCCUAUAAAUGCGUUUAGGGCUAUAUAACUAUUUAAAUAAAAUAGUUUUUCAACUCCAAAUAAUUGUCCAAAAAUCAUGGGAUAGCUCAUUUAUGUAAUAAACCCUUUUAUAAAUAAACCUUAUUGGUUUGAAGAUUCAAAGCUCAAAUGGGUGUAAACCCUAGGGUUUAAAUUGAAAUAAAAACUUUUAAAGCCUUUUGAGAUUCAAAUUUGAAUUCAAACAUGCAAUUGUGGCAUGAUGCUUAUGGAUGCAAUGCAUAUGAAAGGAUUUGAAAUUUUCGGAUGUUACAUGGAUACCACCUUGAGAAUA